CCCUCCAGACUGCUUCCUGUUAAUGUAAUCACAGGCGCUUUUUGCACAUGGGUAUUAUGACUGUCAUUCCAUAGUCUUCACUUGUUAUGUCCUGGUUUUGGGUAUUUAAUAGAAGAUGUUAUGUACUCUAAUUUGUCCUGUUGUCUUGAGAUAAAUUUCCAGAAAUGGGAUCUUUGGUAUGUAUAUUUUAUAUUUUGUGUGUUUUGCAGAACUCGUGUGUACUGAUAAGUACUCAAAAAGUGCAUGAGUGUCAUUUCUUUACAUCCUUUUAAAAUUGUUUUUGUUUAAAUCUUUAAGAAACUGAUAUUCUCCUUUACCUCUUUGAUGGCUAAUGAAUAUCGUACAUUUACUUCUUGUGAAUUGCCUAUGGGGACCCUAUUCCAGUUUCUCUUUUGGAACACUGUUAUUAACCCUUUAUCAUGUGUUACAAGUAUUUUCCCCAGCUUAUUCUUUGUCCUUUGAUCUUAUGGUCUUUUUGCCGUGUAAGUCUAAGAAUUCUGGACACUGUCCCUGAUGGCUUUCCUUAAUGAUCUUUUUCUUUUUUAAAUGGAUCAUUAAUUAAGUUAUUUGGAGGGGGUUCUCCCUUCUGUUAAAUAUAGUGUGGUCUUCAUCUGUCUUGUAGACUUAGACAUUUAUUCUUCCUUUUCAAACGAGAGCUCCCAUAUGCUUUUUCUUAGUCACAUCUAUUUUGACAGAGUUGGAAUCAGCAUAUGCAUAUUAUUUGUCCAAAUCUACCCAUAUGUGAGCUCCUAGGAUUUGAAGGUUUCCUUUAACAACUGUUCUCUUCAUUUAAAAAUAGUCCUUUCUUCAAAUGACAGGAGUUUGUCUUAUUUUUUAAUUGAAGUUAUGCAUAUAUUUGAUUUUAUGAGACUUAUGACUAAAAAUAGUCCCUUUCCUUUUGCAGCCUAAAGUCCAGGGCAACGACUUCAACUCCACUAUUUUUCUUCUUUUUUGUUGUUGUUUUUAAAUUUUGUUUUUAUUGACAUGUAGCUGAUUAACAAUGUUAGUUUCAGGGGUACUCAGCUGUUUUUCUGACAAACAGUAUGCCUUCUUAUUUCUCAAUAACUUUUUUUUCCUAAAUUGAGGUGAAAUUUACAUACAAAAUUCAUCACUUUAAAGUGAAAAAUUCAGUGGCAUUUAGUACAUUCAAAUGUGCAACAACCACUCCUAUCUAGUUCCAAAACAUUUUCAUAACCCCAAAAUAAAACCCCUUACUCAUAAAGCAUUUACUCCUCAUUCUCUCCCCUCCAGCCCUUGGCAACUACCAGUCUGCUUUCUUUUCCUAUGGGUUUACCUAUUCUGAAUAUAUCAUAUAAAUGGAAUUAUACAACGUAUGACCUUUAAUGUUUGGCUUUCACUUAGCAUGAUGCUUUUGGGACUCGCUGACGUAGCAUGUGUUUGUAUGUCAUUUUUAUGGCUAAUAUCCCACCUUAUGUUUAUACCAUAAUUCUUUUAUAUAUUCAUCAGCAGAUGGAUAUUUGGAUUACAUCUACCUUUUGGCUAUUUUGAAUAGUGCUGCUAUAAACAUUCAUGUACAUGUACUUGUUUCCAGUCCUUUUGGAUAUAUACUUGGAAGUGGAAUUGCUCUAAGUAACAUUCUUAUACUAUGAUUUCUUGAUUUUAGUUUAUACUUCUUCCCCUGGAAUCAUAAUUAUAUGUUUACAUAUAAUAUAUGUAAUUCUACACUUAACGUUUCUGUAAGUAGAUAUAUUUACAUAAAAUGUUAGUAAUUACUUUGUUCUUCCAUCUGCUCAGUGUUCUGUGCUCCUGUCUCAUGUGUUCAUCCCUAAAUGUUGAGCCAUAGUUCAAAUCUCAAUAUGUUCAAUUUUACUUUUGUUUUUACUAUGUGGUGAUACCCCUCCCAGGACCCCUAUCCUCUAGCUCCAACUCAAACAGGUUACUCUUGAGGUCUAUAGUUCUGGGGUCUCCUUUUGCCAUCAGUAUAGAAUUCUUUUUGCUUCCAGUGUCAGGAGUACCUGUUUCCACAUCACAUGUCUUCCUCUUUCUUUGUUUACUGCUUCCUUUUGGUGAAACAUCCUUUAGUAGCUCCCGAAGAAAGGGCUCAAUCCUUGGACCUCAUUUCUUCUCUGUUUAUACGAACAUUGAGUCUGGCUUUAAAUGCUAUCUGAGGUUAUUAUGCUAAAAUUUCUACCUCCAGGGCAGAUCUCUGAACUCUAGUCUGAGAUAUGCAUCUGCCUAUUCAGAUCCCCAAGCAGAUCUCUGAUAUACACCUGGACUUUAUCCUGAACUAAACUUGAUUUUUGCAGCCCAAACCUCUGUCCCAAGACAUCUCCAUCUCAGUAAAUGGCAACUUGAUUCAUCCUUGGACCAAAAACCUGAGUCAUCCUUGCUUUUUUUUCCUCUUAAACCACACAUCCACUUGGUCACCAAAUCCUCUUGGCUCGAUCUUUACAAUAUAUCCCCAGAUUUGACCACUUACCACCUCUUCUACAAACACCCUAGUCUGAGUCACUUUCUCUUACCCUUACUAUUGUAAAAGCCUCCUAACUGUUCUCUCUUUGACCCCCACCAACAUCUUCUGCAUCCAGCAUCUAGAGUGGUUUUUUUUUAAGACUUUAUUUUUUAAAUAGUGGUACUGGGGAUUGAACCCAGGACCUCGUACAUGCUAAGCAUGCACUCUACCACUGAGCUUUACCCUCCCACUCUAGAGUGGUCUUUUAAAAUCUAAGUCACGUGCUGUCCCAAGUGCUCAAAAACUUCCAGUGGUUUCCCGUCUCCUUUAGAGUAAAAUUUAUAAUCCAUACCUUGCCUUACAAGGGAGUGUUAGGAUCCUGGCAGGAAAACAGGUGAGUGUCACACUCAAAUUGAGCAAUUUGGAGACUGUUUACUAGAGGAACUCUUUACAAAGGUGUGAGUGGGGUUUAGGGAAGCCACGGGUAAACUGUGUGAGGUUCCCUGGAGCUGGCAAUCACGGGAAGGCAUUAGGUAGUCCCACUCUAGCUGAAGAACGAAGGGAACUCAGAGCUGCUGAGCAUCACCUGGCAGAAGCUGUGGCUCUCAGAAAGACUCCGCCUGCCCUCUGAUUUUUGCAGAUGCCUCCCAUUGGCUAAAUGUCAUAGGAAGCCAGACACCAAGAGAGCCUGUUGGCAUGGCCCAUACUCAGCUUCCCAGGCAACAGAGCAGGGUGGAUAGUGGGUCUGGGGGGACAAAAGCAAAAUAUUCAGGACAAAGGGCCCUGUGAUCUGGCCUAUGCGUUCAUCUCCUACCACCCUUCUUAGUCAUACUGGCCUGGUUUCACAAGUACUCUUCGCUGGUCAUUGCCCUUGUUCAUUCCUCUGCCUGGAAGGCUCUCCCCCAGAUAUCUGUGUGGCUUGCUCCUUCACUGAGGUUCAAGUGACCUCAACCAAUGAGGCCCUAUCCAAAAGAGCUCCCUCCCACCCAGCACUCCAUCCCCCCACUUCAGAGUCCUGAUUACUAUCUGACGUGUUAUUUUCAGAUUAUAUGAAAGCCCUGUUUGUUCACUGCUAUAUCCCUAGUGUUUAGAAAAAUGUCUGGCACAUAGUAGGUUCUCAAUAAAUAUUGGUUAAAUAAAUGCACACAAGGGAUGAAAAACACUUUUGAGAUCUUGGGAAAAGUCUUUUUCAGCUCUCACUGUGGAUUGAUAAAAUUUGAAUGGGAAUAGAGUCUUAGUUGGAAAUCAUUUUUCCUAAAAACUUACCACUGCUUCUUUUUAGCUAAAAACAAACAAAAAUUGCUGUUGAGAAAUCAGAUGUCAUUCUGUUUCCCACUCUUUUGUUUGUAACCUUUUUUCUUUUUCCUUUUCUUGACCUGAUGCUUUUAGGAUCAUCUCUUUAUUGCUUAGUGUUCUGAGAUUUGCAAUAAUACCUUGAUUUUUGUCUGUUUUCAUUUGUUCUGCAGUGUGCUCAGUGAGCUAUUUCAGUUUCAAAAUUGCCUUGCAGUUCUGGGGAAUUUUCUUGAAUUAUUCCUUUAAUACUUCUUCCAUACUAUUUUCUAUGUUAUCUUUCUGGAACUCGUUAUUUACACAUCAGAUUUUUGGACUGAGCCUCUAAUUUUUGUGUCUUUUACCAACUAUUGUCCAUCUCUUUUCCUACUUUAUGAGAGAUUUCAACUUUAUCUUCCAAUAUUAUUACUAAUUUUUCCAUUUCUACCUUUAUAUUUUUAAUCUCAGAGCCAGUGGUAUGUUGGUAAAUGCUGUUAUAUGUGUAUGUUGAUAUGUGUUUGUAUAUAUGUAUAUAUACAUAGUAUUUACAUAUAUAUGUUGUAUAUAUGUCUGUAUGUUGUGUGUUGGUAAAUGUUUUAACAACUCUGAAGUGAAGGGGACAACUCUGACUUGUGUAGUUUACCUAUUUCUGGGGUAUAAAAACUCCCUCUGAUCAAUUUCAAGCUACCAAUAUGGUAUCACUUUAGUAGUAGACCAUUACAUAUACUUCCCCCAUACAGAAACAAUAAACGUAAGUGGCUUCAUGAUCAUAGAUAGUAACAAAACUAUAUAAAAUAAUUAGGAAGUGAAGAGCUUUGAGUAUCUGUUUUGAAUAUAAUUUGUUUUGAAAUAAUUUAUUUACCUUUGAGUUUAUAUAAUUUAAUUUUUAAUAACUCCUUGUGCUUCACUGGCUUGCACAAUUCCUGCAAAUGUAACAGUUGGCUCUUGCGAGCUUUUAUGAGCCAGAUCUAGCUCACCACCACUCAGAGCUCAUCUUUGUACCCUGAACUUUCUUCUUACAGAAACCUGCUGUUUCACAGAUAAAAUAUCUUCUCAUCUCUGAAUACAUUAAUGAUAAUCUUAAACAUUUUCUGCCUCUACAUUGUUUUCUCUGAGCUCCUUUUUGUAUUUGCUUGUCUUUUAUGUUAGAGGCUUUCCUCACAUGUCCAAUAAUCCUCGUAAGGAUCUGAAUUGUGAUGCCCACUACAGACAGCACGGAAUUGUAUCCAGAUGCAGUUCCUCUUUUUCACUACUAGGUGGCGUUGAUUGCUGUUGUUGCUGGGGAUGCUGACACUACCCUAUACUUGCAGCUUCUUAAAAUUUAGAAGUAUUCUCACAUUUGUUAUUUUUUUGAUUUUCAACUUCCCAAAAAGUCGACUCCACAUUUCUUGGGGAGGAGAUUUGGUAUAAAUUCAUUUAAGAAAAUUGCCCCCAUUUUAAAGAUGAGGAAACUGAAGCUCAAAAAAGGGCUGUGGUGAGGGGGAAGGAGAUGGAAGAGGAGGAAGAAGUUGGAAAAGCAGAAAGCAUCUGUCUCUGCAAGGGGACGGUCCUCUCCGGUUCCAGCAGCCAGUGUGCCUGAGGGUGAGCCGGGCUCGGGGAUCUGACAGGGGAGAGGCUGUGCUGGGGCUGCGCGCUUCUCCACUCAGGCACCGACCAACAGGCUGGAGGUUGGAGCUUCUGGGUUGCCAUUGUGUUGCCUGUAUGGGGACGCUAUGGUGCUGGGCCUGGAAUGAAGGGGGACUUGGGACAGAGAGACCAUCCAGUGCUGGAGGUGUGGGACAGUCCAUGUCACCCUGGCGGUCCUGCUCUGCCAGUAUCUGCUCUUCUAGUUCAGGGACAGGGCACUUUGGACUGAUCCGGGGUCCUCUCAGCCUGGGUCGUCAGCACCUGCACUCACACCCCACCAACAAGGCUUUUCGCUGAAAUACUGGAGCAGCACUGGUCUUGAAAGAAGAAUGGUUAGGUAGGUACCCUACCCUGUGAGGGGCAUUAAACAGAGCCCCUCCCCAUUGCCCUAAAUCUCUAGCUAACUUGUUGCAGUGCCUGAAAUCCCAUCAUUGGAAAAGCACAUACAUUUCCUAGAUGGUCUGGCACAUUCUUUGAGAGCCUGCACAGAUAUAGUUAUAGACUAACAGAUUCACAAAGAUCCAAAGGUAAACAGCAAAGCUCUACACUAACUAAAAUGAUAUUAUUUAUGCAAAUCACCCCUGAGCACUAACCACCUCUAACUCAGGAUCAGGGAGUUACGGGUCACAAACCCUUUUGUUUCCAUAACUCACUGGAACCUUAUAGCAAACCUGUACUGCAGGAAAGUAUUAAACUUCUCUGCUUCAGUUUCCUCUUAUGAAAUGGAGGUAAAGGCCCUUGCCCAAGGUCAUAUGGCCAAUUGAGGCCACAAAGACAGGACACUAGAUUUUAGAGACAGAAGGGCUUAUUUGUUCCUAUUUUCUCAAAGCAGCCUGGGGUGUGACACUCUCAACCCUAUAGAAGGACAGGUCUCUGACCUUUGAAAGCAAGAUAAAGAUGGUGAAGCUGGAAAGGGAAAGUCAUUUGGGCGGGUGUGUGAGGGACCCGGAGUGCAGGUCAGGCUGGUCACUGAGGAAACUGAACCGGGAUUUGGGAGUGUGGUCAGUUAGCUGUUCAGGUGAUGAGACUGAGGUCCCCUCUACCUACCCAGGGGAAGAGCCUGGGUUGGGGAGUCUGCAAAUAGCGCAGUCAGGAUGGAACCCAGGCUGUCAGUGCCUGAGCCCUGAUUUCCCCAUCAACGCACCCCAAGGGGUGCUGUGUGAACUUCGGAAGUCUCACUGCCCUGCUGAUCCUUACUAGAAAAGAGGAGUUUGGACCAGGUAGGCUUCCCUGACUAUGCCAUGCCAAGUUCCGGAAGCAGGUGAAACGAUUCAAGUCUCCAGCACCUCUAGAAGAGAGGCCUGGGGACAGGAAGGAUGAGUGUUUCCAGUCCUGACUGAAUCACUUUUUCUUACAUUAGAACAGAUUCCUUUCUGGCCUGAAGGUUGGAAACUCAGGUGCACCCAUGCGGCAUCUCCUAGGCUCUGCCUAGCCUGCCCAUUUAUUCCUUCAGCAACACUCUCUAAAGCUUACGAUGGCCCUGGCCCCUCCUCUCUCCUCUCUUAUCCAUCUAUCCAUCCAUCCAACCAGUCAACAAAUAGUUAUUGAACUAUGUCAGCUGCUAUUUUAGGGUUUGGGAUACAACAGCGAACAAAACCAAACAUAGUCCCUGCUCUCAUGGAGCCUACAUGGCUUUGAAGCGGAGAGAUAUUAAGCAAAUAAUCACUAUACAGAUGUAGAUGUCAACCACAGAAGUGCAAAGGAGACUAAAGGAGACAUGCCUGGUGCUGCGAGAGCCAACAUGGUGGGGUGGGGGUGGGGGCAGAGAAGGCCUCUCUGAGGAGGUGGCUCUUGAACUGUUAUCUGACGUAAGGGGGAGUGGAGCUGGGGGUAUGUAGUGGACAUUCCAGGCACAGGAAAUAGCCUGUACAAAGGCCUUGUGGCAGAAGGGAGCCCAGUGAGUUGGGGAGGGAGAGUGGGGCUAAGGAGGAAGGACAGGACGCAGGGGCCAGACUCACAGGACUACAGGCCUUUGAAAGGAACUGUCUUUUCUUUAGAGCAACAGGGAUAAAAGGGUUUCAUUGGGGAGUGAGAUGAUCAGCUUUACAUUUUGAAAAUAUUCUGGCUCCCUGCUGGGUGAAGAGUGGACAAGGGUAGGUAGAAGGGGAACUGGACCUGGUGAAUUUGGGAGACCAGAGAGAGGAGGCCAGAGUCCAGAGGAGAGAUAACUGUGGCUUGGACUAAGGGGUCAGAGUAGAGAUGGAGGAGAAUGGACAAAUUAGAGAAGUAUCUGGAAAGUAAAUCUGUCCAGACUUGGGGUUGGGUUGGACAUGGGGUAUAAAAGAGAGAGAGGUAUGAGAGAUGACUGCCAGUCUCUGGCACGGGCAAAAGGAAGGAUGGUGGGUCAUUUGUGAAGACAGGGAACACUGAGGGAGGGGCAGGUGUGAGCAGCACAUUAUGAGUUCAGUUUUGGAGAUGUUGAGUUUGAACUGUCUUUAAGACAGUUGGCGAGGCCAAAUAAUAACACUUCCUGAGCACUAAGGCAUGCUAGGUGUUGCACCAAGGGCAUUGUAAGUAUCGUGUUGUUUAAUCCUCACAAGGCAUCAGCAUCUUCAUUUUUCAAAAGACACUGAGGCGCAGAAAGGGAGAGCAGGCAGGCCGCUGGACAGAUUGGCCUGAAGCUCAGAAGAAAGCUCUGCGCUGCAGACGUAAAGGUUUCCAGGAGGAGUAGAAAUUGAACCCAUGGUCAAAUGAAACUGCCCACAGAGAGAAGUGUCCAGCUUCUUCCCUCUCUUCUCACCCACCUCGAGCUGGGCUCCCCUCAGGCCCGCUGUCCCGUGCUGGGCAGAACAUGAGGUGCCUGGAUCCACCCUAGGUGUGGAGACUGUGUGUCAAACUAUUCAUUGUCCCCUCAAGAGGUGGGGUCUCACUGCCCUCCCUGUCAAUCUGCCAGGCCCAUGACUUGCUUAUAAUUAACAGAAUUCAGAGAAGUAACACUUUAGGACUUAGAAGCUAGGGCAGAAAAGGCCUGGUUACCUGGGACACUCAUGCUUGGGGUAGGAAGGCCAACCCUGAGGCCUCCAACCCGCGAGAGAGCCGAGGCCACUCGUAGAAGCCAUGCGCAGGUGGUCUGGAAAACAACCACGGUGGAGGCCCAGGAGGCAGCCAGUAGUAGCCCCCGGCACGUGGGUGAGGUUAUCUCCGUGUGAUUCCUGCCCUCGGCCCGUGAGGCCCCCCCAGCCACUGAAUCUGCUCAGCUGAGGCCCCAGACAUUCUGGAGCAGAGACAAGCCAUUCCUGCCAUGCCCUAUCGGAAUUCUUGACCUACAGGAACCUUGAGAACAAUACAAUGAUUGUCUUAAGGCAUUAGAUAUUGGGAUAACUUGUUUCACAGCAAAAAUAACAGGAACAUUUACUAAGGACGGGGAGGAUGAGUUUCUACAGCUUCAUGGCUGUUCGAGGGACAGGGCAGCGGCUUCCCGGCCUUUCUCCACCCACCACCCUCCCAGUUCUCACCUCACCUCACUCUGAACAGGCGUCCAUGGACGUGUCUGUCUGCCCUACCAGACAGGCUGUGAGCCCUGCCUGGGCAGGACGGCAGGACCUUCCUGGUUGCCUCGAGUCCCAGGUGCCCAGCACGGAGCCUGACACGGAGAGAAUCAGUAAGUGCUCGCUGGGGACGUGCAGCCUGCAGUUGGUCUGAUGUUUCUUUCACUGGAAGUGGGGAUCUCAGACUCCUUCCAAGGACAUGGGGGAGCUGGACGGAAGCUCUUGCUGGCUGCCUCACACAGAGACAGAGGAUUGGGCUGAAGGCAAUUUUUCAGAAAGCAUUCCCGUGAAUACAACAUUUUGAUUGAAACAACGAUUUGAUUGAAAAUGAAUAUUCCCCAGUUGCUGGGGUUUUUUCCCUACAGUGUCAGUUAUCAUCCUUCAUAGAUAAUUUUCAACCCUCUAAUAGUUUUAAAGCAUUUUUGCCUAUUUUCAGGAUUUUUCAGGACUUUACCCCUAAUUAUUUGUAAUUGGUUUUAGCCUACUUUACUGCAUUUGAGUAUUUGAAAUAGUUGGAAUUUGCAGCUGCCUGAAGGUCUCACUGAUGAGGAGAAUGCUUGGGACCGUGGGCUCAGAAUCACAGGGGAGGAACGCCAGAGGGGGCCCUUUACUGGGGUGUUCGCUUUGUGUGAGGAUAAGCUGAGGCUCUGAGGAGGAAGGAGCUUGUCCCGGGUCACACAGGGAGGGGACAGUGAGGACUAGCCAGGCUCCUGGCCUGGUGCCCUUUCCCCUCUGUUCCUGUUCCAGGUGUGAGCAGAAAUAGUCCCUAAGGCAGGACUAUGGGAGUUGUUUAAAUCUCUCUUUUGCACGUCUAGUUUCUGAUGUUUAUGUAACAGUAUGAAUUGCUCUGGGCACAAGAAAAAAAAGUGAACAGUAAAAGAAAGAAUAAA